rnacentral:rRNA from 1 species
CCUACGGGAGGCAGCAGUGGGGAAUAUUGCACAAUGGGGGAAACCCUGAUGCAGCGACGCCGCGUGAGUGAAGAAGUAUUUCGGUAUGUAAAGCUCUAUCAGCAGGGAAGAAAAUGACGGUACCUGACUAAGAAGCCCCGGCUAACUACGUGCCAGCAGCCGCGGUAAUACGUAGGGGGCAAGCGUUAUCCGGAUUUACUGGGUGUAAAGGGAGCGUAGACGGUGAUGCAAGUCAGAAGUGAAAGCCCGGGGCUCAACUCCGGGACUGCUUUUGAAACUGUGUGACUGGAGUGCAGGAGAGGUAAGCGGAAUUCCUGGUGUAGCGGUGAAAUGCGUAGAUAUUAGGAGGAACACCGGUGGCGAAGGCGGCCUGCUGGACUGUGACUGACGUUGAGGCCCGAAGGCGUGGGGAGCAAACAGGAUUAGAUACCCCUGUAGUC